ACUGCGAAUGGCUCAUUAUAUAAGUUAUCGUUUAUUUGAUAGUACCUUACUACUUGGAUAACCGUGGUAAUUCUAGAGCUAAUACAUGCUAAAAAUCCCGACUUCGGAAGGGAUGUAUUUAUUAGAUUAAAAACCAAUGCCCUCUGGGCUCUUUGGUGAUUCAUGAUAACUUCUCGAAUCGCACGGCCUUGCGCCGGCGAUGGUUCAUUCAAAUUUCUUCCCUAUCAACUUUCGAUGUUUGGGUAUUGGCCAAACAUGGUUGCAACGGGUAACGGAGGGUUAGGGCUCGACCCCGGAGAAGGAGCCUGAGAAACGGCUACUACAUCCAAGGAAGGCAGCAGGCGCGCAAAUUACCCAAUCCCGACACGGGGAGGUAGUGACAAUAAAUACUGAUACAGGGCUCUUUUGGGUCUUGUAAUUGGAAUGAGUACAAUUUAAAUCCCUUAACGAGGAACAAUUGGAGGGCAAGUCUGGUGCCAGCAGCCGCGGUAAUUCCAGCUCCAAUAGCGUAUAUUAAAGUUGUUGUGGUUAAAAAGCUCGUAGUUGAACCUUGGGCCUGGCUGGCCGGUCCGCCUCACCGCGUGUACUGGUCCGGCCGGGCCUUUCCCUCUGUGGAACCUCAUGCCCUUCACUG
rnacentral:rRNA from 1 species